rnacentral:rRNA from 1 species
GUGGGGAAUAUUGGGCAAUGGGCGAAAGCCUGACCCAGCCACGCCGCGUGAGUGAUGAAGGCCUUCGGGUUGUAAAGCUCUGUGGGGAGGGAAGAAAAAGCGCAGGAGUAACUGCCUGUGUGUUGACGGUACCUCCUUAGCAAGCACCGGCUAACUCUGUGCCAGCAGCCGCGGUAAUACAGAGGGUGCAAACGUUGCUCGGAAUUACUGGGCGUAAAGCGCGUGUAGGCUGACAUGCAAGUCGGGUGUGAAAUCCCAGGGCUCAACCUUGGAACUGCACUCGAAACUGUACGUUUUGAGUACUGGAGAGGGAAGCGGAAUUCCGGGUGUAGAGGUGAAAUUCGUAGAUAUCCGGAGGAACACCAGUGGCGAAGGCGGCUUCCUGGACAGUAAAUGACGCUGAGACGCGAAAGCGUGGGGAGCAAACAGGAUUAGAUACCCCAGUAGUCC